rnacentral:rRNA from 1 species
UGUCGUCAGCUCGUGUUGUGAAAUGUUGGGUUAAGUCCCGCAACGAGCGCAACCCUUAUCCUUUGUUGCCAGCGGUCCGGCCGGGAACUCAAAGGAGACUGCCAGUGAUAAACUGGAGGAAGGUGGGGAUGACGUCAAGUCAUCAUGGCCCUUACGACCAGGGCUACACACGUGCUACAAUGGCGCAUACAAAGAGAAGCGACCUCGCGAGA